GGUUGUUAAGGCAAUUUGGCUGCAAUGCUUAUCACUCCAUUUUUCAUCAAGGUUGAUUAGACUGGCCUUACUGGGUAAGUGGGUUUCCUUUUCCUUCUUCUCAGCUCCGGAUGCCUCCCCAAGAUGCAUGCUCUGUCAAAAAAGAUGCUCUUCCCCAAAUAGAGGUGGACUGACCUUUGGUGGAAGAUAUGCAAAUAGCUGUGCUCUUCUAUUAGAAACUUCAAACAAGUUUUCCAGGUCCAUUCCUCGACAAACUGUAAGUUAAAUAUAGAGUUAGAACACUUCUUGAAAUGCCGGGUGUACUUA
ensembl:misc_RNA 7SK 7SK RNA